GGUAAAAUGGCUGAGGUAGGCAUUAGACUGUAAAUCUAAGUACAGGGGUAGUCCCCCUUUUUACCA
rnacentral:tRNA from 1 species